AGCGAACGCUGGCGGCAGGCUUAACACAUGCAAGUCGAGCGGGCACUUCGGUGUCAGCGGCAGACGGGGGAGUAACACGUGGGAACGUACCCUUUGGUUCGGAAUAACGCUGGGAAACUAGCGCUAAUACCGGAUACGCCCUUUUGGGGAAAGGCUUGCUGCCGAAGGAUCGGCCCGCGUCUGAUUAGCUAGUUGGUGGGGUAAUGGCCUACCAAGGCGACGAUCAGUAGCUGGUCGGAGAGGAUGAUCAGCCACACUGGGACUGAGACACGGCCCAGACUCCUACGGGAGGCAGCAGUGGGGAAUAUUAGACAAUGGGCGCAAGCCUGAUACAGCCAUGCCGCGUGAGUGAUGAAGGCCUUAGGGUUGUAAAGCUCUUUUGUCCGGGACGAUAAUGACGGUACCGGAAGAAUAAGCCCCGGCUAACUUCGUG
rnacentral:rRNA from 1 species